rnacentral:rRNA from 1 species
GACGAACGCUGGCGGCGUGCUUAACACAUGCAAGUCGAACGGAAAGGCCCUGCUUUUGUGGGGUGCUCGAGUGGCGAACGGGUGAGUAACACGUGAGUAACCUGCCCUUGACUUUGGGAUAACUUCAGGAAACUGGGGCUAAUACCGGAUAGGAGCUCCUGCUGCAUGGUGGGGGUUGGAAAGUUUCGGCGGUUGGGGAUGGACUCGCGGCUUAUCAGCUUGUUGGUGGGGUAGUGGCUUACCAAGGCUUUGACGGGUAGCCGGCCUGAGAGGGUGACCGGCCAAAUUGGGAAUGAGAUACGGCCCAGACUCCUAAGGGAGGCAGCAGUGGGGAAUAUUGCAACAUGGGCGGAAGCCUGAUGCAGCAACGCCGCGUGCGGGAUGACGGCCUUCGGGUUGUAAACCGCUUUCGCCUGUGACGAAGCGUGAGUGACGGUAAUGGGUAAAGAAGCACCGGCUAACUACGUG